rnacentral:rRNA from 1 species
AGAGUUUGAUCCUGGCUCAGAACGAACGCUGGCGGCAGGCCUAACACAUGCAAGUCGAGCGCCCUUUCGGGGGAGCGGCGGACGGGUGAGUAACGCGUGGGAAUAUGCCCUUCUCUACGGAAUAGCCUCGGGAAACUGAGAGUAAUACCGUAUACGCCCUGUGGGGGAAAGAUUUAUCGGGGAAGGAUUAGCCCGCGUUGGAUUAGGUAGUUGGUGGGGUAAUGGCCUACCAAGCCGACGAUCCAUAGCUGGUUUGAGAGGAUGAUCGGCCACACUGGGACUGAGACACGGCCCAGACUCCUACGGGAGGCAGCAGUGGGGAAUCUUAGACAAUGGGGGCAACCCUGAUCUAGCCAUGCCGCGUGAGUGAUGAAGGCCUUAGGGUUGUAAAGCUCUUUCAGCUGGGAAGAUAAUGACGGUACCAGCAGAAGAAGCCCCGGCUAACUCCGUGCCAGCAGCCGCGGUAAUACGGAGGGGGCUAGCGUUGUUCGGAAUUACUGGGCGUAAAGCGCACGUAGGCGGACUGGAAAGUUGGGGGUGAAAUCCCGGGGCUCAAUCUCGGAACUGCCUUCAAAACUAUCAGUCUGGAGUUCGAGAGAGGUGAGUGGAAUUCCGAGUGUAGAGGUGAAAUUCGUAGAUAUUCGGAGGAACACCAGUGGCGAAGGCGGCUCACUGGCUCGAUACUGACGCUGAGGUGCGAAAGCGUGGGGAGCAAAC